AGCAGCCGCGGUAAUUCCAGCUCCAAUAGCGUAUAUUAAAGUUGUUGCAGUUAAAAGCUCGUAGUUGAAUUUCGGGAUCAAUUUGCUGGUCGUGCCUCUGGUACGUACUGGUAUUAUUGGUUUCUCCCUUCUGACGAACCAUGAUGUCAUUAAUUUGAUGUCGUGGAGAAUCAGGACUGUUACUUUGAAAAAAUUAGAGUGUUUAAAGCAGGCAUUAGCUUGAAUACAUUAGCAUGGAAUAAUGAAAUAGGACGUUUGAUCCUAUUUUGUUGGUUUCUAGGAUUGACGUAAUGAUUAAUAGGGAUAGUUGGGGGCAUUAGUAUUCAAUUGUCAGAGGUGAAAUUCUUGGAUUUAUUGAAUGACUAACUACUGCGAAAGUCAUUUGCCAAUGGAUGUUUUCAUUAAUCAAGAACGAAAGUUAGGGGAUCGAAGACGAUCAGAUACCGUCGUAGUCUUAACCAUAAACUAUGCCGACUAGGGAUCGGAUGAUGUUAAUUUUUUCAAUGACUCAUUCGGCGCC
rnacentral:rRNA from 1 species